AGAGUUUGAUCAUGGCUCAGAGCGAACGCUGGCGGCGUGCUUAACACAUGCAAGUCGAGCGCAGGCAUUUUAGGGGUAACCCUGAGAUGUGCUGAGCGGCGGACGAGUGAGUAAUACGUGGAUAACCUGCCUUUGUGCUUGGGAUAACUCCGGGAAACUGGAGCUAAUACCGGAUAAGACCACGGUUUCUAUGGAUACCGAGGUAAAAGGCGGCUAGGUAACUGGCUGUCACGCAAAGAUGGGUUCACGUCCCACCAGGUAGUUGGUGAGGUAAUGGCUCACCAAGCCUAAGACGGGUAGCUGGCCUUAGCGGGUGGUCAGCCACACGGGGACUGAGAUACGGCCCCGACUCCUACGGGAGGCAGCAGUGGGGAAUAUUGGGCAAUGGGCGAAAGCCUGACCCAGCGACGCCGCGUGGGGGAUGAAGGCCUUCGGGUCGUAAACCCUUGUCAGGAGGGACGAUGGGAAUGUGAGCUAAUACCUCACAUGCUUGACGGUACCUCCAAAGGAAGCCCCGGCUAACUCCGUGCCAGCAGCCGCGGUAAUACGGAGGGGGCAAGCGUUGCUCGGAAUUACUGGGCGUAAAGGGUCCGUAGGCGGCUCCGUAAGUUAGAUGUGAAAGCUCAGGGCUCAACCCUGAAAUUGCAUCUAAAACUGCGGAGCUAGAGUCCAGAAGAGGUCGGCGGAANUUCCCGGNGUAGCGGUGAAAUGCGUAGAUAUCGGGAGGAACACCAGUGGCGAAGGCGGCCGACUAGUCUGGUACUGACGCUGAGGGACGAAAGCGUGGGGAGCGAACCGGAUUAGAUCCCCGGGUAGUCCACGCCCUAAACGAUG
rnacentral:rRNA from 1 species